rnacentral:rRNA from 1 species
CGUUAUCCGGAAUUAUUGGGCGUAAGCGCGCGUAGGCGGUUUUUAAGUCUGAUGUGAAAGCCCACGGCUCAACCGUGGAGGGUCAUUGGAAACUGGAAAACUUGAGUGCAGAAGAGGAAAGUGGAAUUCCAUGUGUAGCGGUGAAAUGCGCAGAGAUAUGGAGGAACACCAGUGGCGAAGGCGACUUUCUGGUCUGUAACUGACGCUGAUGUGCGAAAGCGUGGGGAUCAAACAGGAUUAGAUACCCUGGUAGUCAAGGGCG